rnacentral:misc_RNA from 1 species
ACUCAUCAAACCCACUUGCUUUUGCGGCUGGUGCGGUUUGGACUUGGGGGUUCUUUGCUGCCGCUUGCGGUGGCUCCCCUUAAAUGGAUCGGUAGGGCUUUUCGAGUCUUGUCCCUUGGCGUUGUAUCAUCCUCGUCGCUGGGCAGGCUUGAGCUUUGCGCCCCGCCUCGACUUGCCUCUGGAGUGGCGGUCAACUUAACUUUGUG